UACAGAGAGUGCAAGCGUUAAUCGGAAUUACUGGGCGUAAAGCGCACGUAGGUGGAUCUUUAAGUCGGAUGUGAAAGCCCUGGGCUUAACCUAGGAAUUGCAUUCGAUACUGUGGGUCUAGAAUAUGGUAGAGGGAAGUGGAAUUUCCGGUGUAGCGGUGAAAUGCGUAGAUAUCGGAAGGAACAUCAGUGGCGAAAGCGGCUUCCUGGACCAAUAUUGACACUUAGGUGCGAAAGCGUGGGGAGCAAACACG
rnacentral:rRNA from 1 species